rnacentral:rRNA from 1 species
CAGAACGAACGCUGGCGGCGCGUCUUAAGCAUGCAAGUCGAGCGGCAGGAGAUAUGCUUGCAUAUCUCCGAGAGCGGCGGACUGGUGAGUAACGCGUGGGUGACCUACCCUGAGGUUGGGGAUAGCCAUUAGAAAUAGUGGGUAAUACCGAAUAUGGUUACGGGACUGUGGUCUUGUAAAGAAAGGGGCUCCGGCCCCGCCUUGGGAUGGGCCCGCGUCCCAUUAGGUAGUUGGUGUGGUAAAGGCGCACCAAGCCCGAGAUGGGUAGCCGGCCUGAGAGGGUGAACGGCCACACUGGGACUGAGAUACGGCCCAGACUCCUACGGGAGGCAGCAGCUAAGAAUAUUCCGCAAUGGACGAAAGUCUGACGGAGCGACGCCGCGUGGAUGACGAAGGCCGGAAGGUUGUAAAAUCCUUUUGUUGCUGAAGAAUAAGCCGGGGAGGGAAUGCCCUGGUGAUGACGUAG